rnacentral:rRNA from 1 species
UUGAGGUCUGGCCUGCCCACUGAGUAUUUUGAAGGGCCGCGGUAUAUUAACCGUGCGAAGGUAGCAUAGUCAAUAGUCUCUUAAUUCGAGGCUUGAAUGAACGGUUGGACAUAAGGGAGACUGUCUAUGAUUAGUUGAAGUGAAUUUAACUUUUGUGUGAAAAGGCAUUA